GAUGAAGAACGUAGUGAAAUGCGAUACGUAAUGUGAAUUGCAGAAUUCAGUGAAUCAUCGAAUCUUUGAACGCACAUUGCGCCCCUUGGUAUUCCGGGGGGCAUGCCUGUCCGAGCGUCAUUGCUGCCCUCAAGCACGGCUUGUGUGUUGGGCCUCCGUCCUCCUCCCGGGGGACGGGCCCGAAAGGCAGCGGCGGCACCGCGUCCGGUCCUCGAGCGUAUGGGGCUUCGUCACCCGCUCUUGUAGGCCCGGCCGGCGCUUGCCGACACAUCAAUCUUUUUUCCAGGUUGACCUCGGAUCAGGUAGGGAUACCCGCUGAACUUAAGCAUAUCAAUAAGCGGAGGA
rnacentral:misc_RNA from 1 species